CAGUUGUUGCGAUGGAUAUCAAAUGUAUACUCAUGUUUUAUUGUCUAACACUUCAAAACAACGAAAUAACGGGUGAUACUACAAUCAAUCUAACGAAAUAUGAUAAAGACAAACAUACGUUGGAUGCUUUGAAUAAUGCUCCUGAGCAAGUAGCUGGAUAUAUUUCGGAUGUGCACGGCAAUUAUACAUUUGACAAUCUCUACACGACUGAAGGAAUGUAUAUCCUACAAGAGAAAAAUAAAAACUGCGACAACCAAAAUCGGUUACUCAAUCAGCUAUCUGAAAGCGAUUUAGAUGAGAUCUUAAAUUUGGUAAACGUAUCUAAAGAUCAAUUCGAAGGAGAUAUUGUGCUAAAUAAGAAUCAAAAGAUUAGAAUAAUAUUGUUGUCUUUGCUUAAAGAGUCUAUCUACGAGCUAAACAUUGAAGCAAACAUUAAUGAAAACAUCACUUCAACACAACCACGUCAUGGACCAGCAACAAUGAAACCAAUUCACCAGCUACUAAAAGAAAUGGGACUCGACUCGAAGAACAAAGACGAUAAAGUUAAACAUAGAGUAAAAAGAAAGAUGGUUAGACGUGAAAAGGAUGAAAGGUGGACAUUUCCGAUCCAAUUUGCCUUCGAAGAUUUCUUCUUUUUGCCACAAACUAUCAGAAUGAGGAUUCUAGACGGCAUACGAGAAUGGGAAAAACUGACAUGUGCGUCAUUCCAAGAAGUAUGGUACAUUCCUACAUAUGCGUCCGGAAUUAGAUUUAUUACAGAUGAGAGCGUGUGUAGAUCCUUUAUUGGAAAGAAUCCCACCGGAAUAAAUGAUGUCAGGUUAUCUGCAACUCAUUGCAUGUUGCCCGGCACGAUUCAGCACGAGAUUGGACACGCAUUAGGCCUUGUACACGAACAAUCAAGGCCUGAUAGAAACUCCUACGUAUCGAUAAAUAAUGGCUCCAUUGUGGGAGGCAUGGCAUACAAUUUUCUAAGAAAAAACUGGAUUACAACGUUCACUGAUAACAUAGAAUAUGACUUCAGCUCCGUCAUGCACUACAAUAAAAGGGCCUUUAGCUUAGAUGGCGAAGAUACGAUCACAUCACGGAAUAAAAUAUACCUAAAUACAAUGGGGCAACGAGUUGGGUUGUCUUUCUCAGACGCCAUGAUAUUCAACUUUCAUUAUUGUAAUGUCAGUUUUGUUCCCAUUAGAACGAUGCCAAGGGUUCAAAACACUCGUGUGGUCUGAGUGCCAACAUGGAGGAUACAGGGAUCCACUCAAUUGCAGUGCUUGUCGAUGUAAUGACGGAUGGACUGGGCCUUUGUGCGAUACAUUGGCCUCUUCAGAAUACGAAUGUGGUGGAGUCCUUCCUGCCAAUCAAUUUGCGACUGAGCUGUCUUUCCCGGAAGGUUAUCCACAUACACGCUACAAUCAUGAGGUAUCAUGUACCUGGCUCAUACAGGCGCCAGUUGGGCAACAUGUGAAUGCAUACUUUAUAGAUGACUUUGGCAUAGAUUUAACCAAUGGGAGCUCGAGCUGUUCAUAUCUAGAUUGGAUAGAAGUUCGAUUCUCCGACAUGGGACAAACAGGACCAAGAUUCUGCGGCUCUGUGUUGCCAGAUGUUACAUUUGUCUCAAGAGAUAAUGAGAUCAUAAUACUGUUGAGAUCCCAUGACAUCGAUUACGUUGAUGGUAUUGGUCUACGGAGAGGAUUCAAACUUGAAUAUUGCCACAACAAGAACCAGUGAGCUACCUUGUCAAUCACUUAAAUUAACAAACAUAAAGAAUCGACAGCAAAGGUGGAGAGAAGGAGUAUUUGUCCUACAAGCGAUGGAAUGGAAUUUUAAACCAGUUUAUAAGCAUUUAAUAGAAGCCGAAUUCCUUUACUUUCACUGUGGUCACUGGUUGGUUGGUUCUACUAUUGGAGAAUUAGAAGCUGGAUUGAAGGUGAAAAUUACAACAACGACACCAUCUGCCAUAACUGGCCAGUGGAUGUCUCUGAACUCGGGUCUCUGGCUUCCUGAGAAUGAAUUGUCCCUAUCGUGCAGUAGUGUCUGUGAUGGCCUUUGGGUAAGCUGGAUUUCAAGGGAUGCUUCUAACGCUCAUCUCAUUGGUGCGUAUCGUAUUGCUGGAUCUGACGACAAUGGAGUGCCGAUUUACAGAAAAGCAAACUCUGACAGCGAUAGUGUAGUCACCCUCCGUAUGAUCAAUGGCAAAAAAUGGCAACUGAGUUCAGCAUCUUCUAUUCUUGAAUCACCGUUUAUGACAAACGAAACUAACCCUGCAAAAAUUGUUCAUAAGUGGCAGGUAACCGGUGGAGGCGAAAUUAAGAUCGAAUGUUACUUUGGUCCUAUACCUUGUGAAAGGUUCCUGCUCACUGGGUUGCCUCGUCAUCAAAGGGGACUAGGAGGUAUUUAUUUUCUAAAUGGAACUCUUUCCAAUGGACGACCAGUCUAUGUUCACGAAUCCAGAAACAUGUCCUUGUUUCAUGUAGUGCUUACAGAGAAAAUAAGAUAUUGGUAUGUUACACUCUGGAAUAAGCCGGAUGACGUCUAUAUGAAAGUCCUUGACGUAGCGAUGGUGCCGGGUGAAAUAAAUGCCACUUGGGAGGUAUAUUCUGGUGAAUCUGAGCAAUUUGAGUAUGCAGAUACAGUUUCUGUAAACUGUUAUACAGUUGAUGAGAUAAACCAUUGCGAGCGGUUUUUUAUCAACGGGGUUACAAGUUACCAAAGAAAUCGACAAGGUAUUUUCUCUUUGAGUGUGCAGACUUGGAUGAAUAGACCUGUUUAUAUCCAUGAGUCGGGAAGAGAGUUUCUAUACUAUAGUGUAGAUCUCGGGGCGUGGAUUGUUGGACCAAACGUAGGCUCAGUAGUAGGAGGAAUUUUUGUGUCCGACGCAGCACUGUCGCCACGGGAUAUCGACAGUGAUGCACAAUGGCGUAUCGUGUCUGGAGGUCGGCUUGUCACUUUCUCAUUAAAGGGAGUUUGCCUGACAGUUGAUAAGAUAAACCAUUGCGAGCGGUUCUACAUCAAUGGGAUUACAAGUAUACAACUAUAUCGACGGGGCGUUUUCACUCUGAGUGCGCAGACUAUGAUGAAUAGACCCGUUUAUACCCAUGAGUCAGGAACAGGGUAUCUCUUUUAUAGUACAUAUUGGGGAGCGUGGAUUGUAGGACCAGACAUAACAUCCAGAGCAGCGGGAAUUAUUGUGAAUGACGCAGCAUUGACGCCGCGUGAUAUCAACAUUAAUACACAAUGGCGAAUCCUUUCUGGAGAUCAAUUUGUCCCAAUGUCGUUAAUAACGGGAGUUUGCUUGACAGCUAACUCCUGUAGGGAGCUGCAAGUGACCGGUUUCAACGGGGUCCGUUCCCUCGCAAACGGUCGAUACGUGAUCCGUGGAGGUCUGUUGAACCACAGGGCAUCAUAUCAGCAUACAUCGAAUAAUUAUUACAUUUACUAUUAUAUUCGCUAUCAAAUAUGGAUCAUUGGUCCUCAACUAAAUAGUGACAGAGCUAUUGCAACAUCAGGAAAUGUUGUCGUUGACGCAGAGAAGACAACUGCAUGGACCAUAUCCCUUAAUGGGCAGUGGGUGGUAGAACCGAAUAUUCGAUUGAGGUGCUCACUAUAUCCUACAAGGUCUCUUCCGUCAAGUUCUCCACCGACCACCAUAGUGAUGAAACCGAGGACUAUCUUCCCCACUACCAGACCAGAGGCAACAUCUUCUAGACCUACUAAAGCUACUACUACCUGUGCAUCAACUACAACAUCAAGACCAUCAAGGCCAACUACGCCAAUUGCAGUUGGUUUAGCCACCACUGAACCUGAUACAACAGAAGGUUCAACCACUAAAACUGACACCACAGGAGGCUUAGUAACCACUGAACUUGACACUACAGAAGGCUUAGCCACCAUUGAACCUGAUACAACAGAAGGUUCAACCACUAAAACUGACACCACGGGAGGCUUAGUAACCACUGAACUUGACACUACAGAAGGCUUAGCCACCACUGAACCUGAUACAACAGAAGGUUCAACCACUAAACCUGACACCACAGGAGGCUUAGAAACCACUGAACUUG
rnacentral:misc_RNA from 1 species